rnacentral:lncRNA from 1 species
CCUUGGUAGUAGGUAUAUGCUCAUGUUGGCUUUGCAACUUAUUUGAUAUAGACGCCAGCAUAUAACACUUAACCCGAUUGUCUUCAUCCGUCCACUUCUCAAAAGUAACUCUUUGCUUAGUAGUAGGAUGGUUUAGUAGCACCAUAGGUUUCUGGUCGAGGACAUGACCUAGUUUUUCGAAAGUCAGGAUAAUCUUGAGAUU